rnacentral:misc_RNA from 1 species
GAAAUGCGAUAAGUAAUGUGAAUUGCAGAAUUCAGUGAAUCAUCGAAUCUUUGAACGCACCUUGCGCUCCUUGGUAUUCCUUGGAGCAUGCCUGUUUGAGUAUCAUGAAAUCUUCAAAGUAAAUCUUUUGUUAACUCAAUUGGUUUCUACUUUGGUAUUGGAGGUCUUUGCAGCUUCACACCUGCUCCUCUUUGUUCAUAGCUGGAUCUCAGUGUUAUGCUUGGUUCCACUCGGCGUGAUAAGUUAUCUAUCGCUGAGGACACUGUAAAAGGUGGCCAAGGUAAAUGCAGAUGAACCGCUUCUAAUAGUCCAUUGACUUGGACAAUACUUUUAUGAUCUGAUCUCAAAUCAGGUAGGACUACCCGCUGAACUUAAGC